GUGCUAGCUUCAGCAGCACAUACACUAAAAUUGGAAUGAUACAGAGAAGAUUAGCAUGGCUCCCGUGCAAGGAUGACAUGCAAAUUCAUGAUGUGUUCCAUAUUUUA
rnacentral:snRNA from 1 species